rnacentral:rRNA from 1 species
UACGAAGGGGACUAGCGUUGUUCGGAAUCACUGGGCGUAAAGCGCACGUAGGCGGAUUUGUAGGUCAGGGGUGAAAUCCCGGGGCUCAACCUCGGAACUGCCUUUGAUACUGCGAAUCUCGAGUCCGAUAGAGGUGGGUGGAAUUCCUAGUGUAGAGGUGAAAUUCGUAGAUAUUAGGAAGAACACCGGUGGCGAAGGCGGCCCACUGGAUCGGUACUGACGCUGAGGUGCGAAAGCGUGGGGAGGCAAA